CCCUUAGAUGUUCUGGGCUGCACGCGCGCUACACUGAUGCGUUCAACGAGUUUAUGACCUUGCCCGAUAGGGUUGGGUAAUCUUUUUAAAUCGCAUCGUGAUGGGGAUAGAUUAUUGCAAUUAUUAAUCUUCAACGAGGAAUGCCUAGUAAGCGUGAUUCAUCAAAUCGCGUUGAUUACGUCCCUGCCCUUUGUACACACCGCCCGUCGCUCCUACCGAUUGAAUGUGUUGGUGAGGAGCUCGGAUUGGCAGCAGUUGGUGGUUCGCCACCGGCUAUUGCUGAGAAGUCCUCCAAACCGCCCCAUUUAGAGGAAGGAGAAGUCGUAACA
rnacentral:rRNA from 1 species